AGGUGAGGGGAAGAUCAACAGGGUGACUGGUGAAAGUACUGCACAACCUGGAGAGGGCCAUGGAAUGGGAAAGGAGCGGGAGGCAAGCAGAGGUACAACAGAGACUGCAAACACGUACCACAAUGACUGUGUGACUGCAUUCCUAAUGGAGACAUUAAGGAAACUACAGAAAGGAGGUGAGGGGCAGACCAACAGGAUGGCCUGUGAAAGUACUGCACAACCUGGACAUGGAGUGGACAUGGAAGGACAGGG